GUUCUCAACCCUUCGACCCCGAUCGACGACCCGGCGACUGGGUCCGACGGGAACUCUUCCUUCCGGCCACCUCACGACGGCGCACUGGCGCCAAUGCCUUCCUCUCCUCGUCACCGACGUCUUUAUGGGGUUAGAUUGUCCAGUCAGCAUCUCUGGGAAGAGAACUGAAGCUUGGUGUUUCCCGGUGGAUUCUCAGCUGUUUCCGGCGACAGGAUGAUCUGCAUGAAGUAAGAAAAUGGAUCCUCUCGUCGUGGUCUACGUGUUGAUCAAAUCAGUUUUUGAAUUCGGUCAAGUUUAACGAUUUGUGUUCUGGGUUGAUUUUGGCUUCGUCGCGGACGUCAACGUCGACGGCUGUUGUGGUAGCUCUGAGACAUGAAUUGCUACUGUUGUCCUGAUGUUUGAAUAGAGAUGGAUGUUGACUUAGAAGCUCUGUCAAUCAAAUUGGGCUGUGGUCGCGACACGGGAAUUAGCAAAGGUGAUGACAUGCAUGAUUAUCUCCCCACUAUGACAAGGACGAUGUUUCCAGGAAAGGAAUGAAAUAUAUUUAAUCUCCAUUUGAGUUAAUUGUAAAUGGUGAACUCGAGUUGGUUCGUGGGUUUGAUCUACUGUCAAUUUUAGGCUGAGAUCAAAUACCCGAUAUGUGUAUAUUUGUGUUAUGUAUAUGAUUAUCCACUGUGAUGGAGUUAAUAAGUCAUUAUCAAGACUAGUGUUGGUAUUAAAGUGUAAAUAGUUGAGCCUAGUGUUGGGUUGUCGUGUGGUGAUCUGCUGUACGAAAGAAAAGAGUUCGGAAACUGAGUUGUUGCAUAUGGUCUUUGACUAAGUUUGAUUAUUGGACUGUAAACAUGAGUCGGAAUUUAUUAAUUCAUGGUAAAGUCUUGUAUUUGGAAUGGAAUUGUUGGAUUUACAGAAGUGUUUCUAGUUG